rnacentral:lncRNA from 1 species
GGGUGAAGCUCAAGAAGGUGCAGGAGCAAGAGUUCAAGCCCCUGCCCACCAGGUUCCAGCUCACCCCCUUCGAGAUGCUGAUGCAGGACAUCCGCGCCAGGAACUACCAGCUACGCAAGGUCAUGGUCGAUGGGGACAUCCCCCCACGAGUGAAGAAGGAUGCACAUGAGC